UACAGAGGGUGCGAGCGUUGUUCGGAAUUAUUGGGCGUAAAGGGCGCGUAGGCGGCGCCACAAGUCACUUGUGAAAACUCUGGGCUCAACUCAGAGCCUGCAAGCGAAACUGUGGUGCUGGAGUAUGGGAGAGGUGCGUGGAAUUCCCGGUGUAGCGGUGAAAUGCGUUGAUAUCGGGAGGAACACCUGUGGCGAAAGCGGCGCACUGGACCAUAACUGACGCUGAGGCGCGAAAGCUAGGGGAGCAAACAGG
rnacentral:rRNA from 1 species